ACGAAGGGGGCUAGCGUUGUUCGGAAUUACUGGGCGUAAAGCGCACGUAGGCGGGUUGUUAAGUCAGGGGUGAAAUCCUGGAGCUCAACUCCAGAACUGCCUUUGAUACUGGCAAUCUAGAGACUGGAAGAGGUUAGUGGAAUUCCCAGUGUAGAGGUGAAAUUCGUAGAUAUUGGGAAGAACACCAGUGGCGAAGGCGGCUAACUGGUCCAGCACUGACGCUGAGGUGCGAAAGCGUGGGGAGCAAACAGGA
rnacentral:rRNA from 1 species